AGUUCGUUUACCUUAGUAACCUAAGGCAUUUCUUCUCUUCUCAUAGGCCAGACUUUAUCUGAUUCUAGAGUCACUGCCGGCAUAAUUUGUUCAAAAGGAAUGGCAGGAAUGAUGAAAAUGGAAUCCAAGUCACUGUUUUGGCACAGAGAAAAAAAAAGCAUGUCGUAAACUGCUGGAGUGCGGCGAAAGCAGAGGUCCUCUGCAGACCCACCAACCAUCUUGUCUACUUCCUGUGUCCCACAAAACAGAUAG
rnacentral:lncRNA from 1 species